GAGAAGGGGGAGGGGUUAAAGAAGAGACACACACACAGCAGCACACCGAGCAGCACGCGAACAAGACAGACGAGGAGACGAGAGAGCUAGUUAGUGAAAAAAACAACACGGUGGAAAGUGGAAAGGUGAGAAACUGGAUAGGAAACGCAGUGAAAUAUGGACUCAUUUCAAUUUAAUUGAUAAUUCAAAGGCAGCGUGUAGACUGUGCAAGGUUAAAAUAUCCCAUAGAUCAGGCUCCACAAAUAACCUGCACAGGCACAUCAGAAAUAUCCACCCAUCAGUACAAUUUGAAGAGAAAGAACAAGCAAGGGAACCAGCUAUUAAUGAAGGUGCUAGUGUGUCUGCAACUGUUGCUGCUGCUGCAAUGUCACAACUGCCUAGAUGUACAACCCAGAGCUCUAUGAGCCACUUUAUGCAAAAAGCUAUAAAACCAGCAAAACAGAACACAAUUGACGAGGAACUGUAAAUUUCCCCAGUGUGGGACAAAUAAAAGAUAUCUUAUAUCUUAUAAAAUGAUUGCAAUGGAUUUUCAGCCAUUUUGUGUUGGCUGUGUGUUGUAGCAACAUCUGUCCCCCAGAGAGGAGAAACAGGAUCAACCCCUCAAAGCUGAGGCACUUGGUUUUUCUUCAAGCCAAUCUUCGCUAAAGACAAGCUAAAACAUUUAGCUGGAUGCUGUUUUUUCUUUUUGUUUUACAAAUUUUAAUUUAUAAUUUGUUGUGUGGUAUUCAACGCUUACUUAUGUUGUUUUACUAUAAAUAGUUAAACGCUUAUAAAUAUACACAUUCAGAGAUUGGAACUUUUUGACGACCUUGUUUUGAGAUGGGUCUUUGUACUUUGUUUUUAUUUUUGUAGCACUCCAUGUUGUACUCCAUGUUGAGUAUGUUCAGAAGAAUAUAAAUAAAGCCAUAUAAAUAAUAAA